AGGGGUAUAGCUCAGUUGGUAGAGCGGCGGUCUCCAAAACCGCAGGUCGGGGGUUCGAGUCCCUCUGCCCCUGCCA
rnacentral:tRNA from 3 species